AUUGAACGCUGGCGGUAGGCCUAACACAUGCAAGUCGAACGCGAAAGUCCUUCGGAUGAGUAGAGUGGCGGACGGGUGAGUAACGCGUAGGAAUCUAUCCUGUAGUGGGGGAGUAACGUUUCGAAAGGAACGCUAAUACCGCAUACGCCCCAAGGGGAAAGCGGGGAGUCUUCGGACCUCGUGCUAUAGGAGGAGCCUGCGUCGGAUUAGCUAGUUGGUGAGGUAAAGGCUCACCAAGGCGACGAUCCGUAGCUGGUCUGAGAGGAUGAUCAGCCACACCGGAACUGAGACACGGUCCGGACUCCUACGGGAGGCAGCAGUGGGGAAUUUUGGACAAUGGGCGCAAGCCUGAUCCAGCCAUGCCGCGUGCGGGACGAAGGCCUCGGUUGUAA
rnacentral:rRNA from 1 species